GUACUGAUGAGGAGUCCCAAACUAGGACGAAACAGCCGUCCAGUAC
rfam:Trichobilharzia regenti genome assembly, scaffold: TRE_scaffold0100735